rnacentral:rRNA from 1 species
CUACGGGAGGCAGCAGUGGGGAAUAUUGGACAAUGGGCGCAAGCCUGAUCCAGCCAUGCCGCGUGGGUGAUGAAGGCCCUAGGGUUGUAAAGCCCUUUCGGCGGGGAAGAUAAUGACGGUACCCGCAGAAGAAGCCCCGGCUAACUUCGUGCCAGCAGCCGCGGUAAUACGAAGGGGGCUAGCGUUGUUCGGAAUCACUGGGCGUAAAGCGCACGUAGGCGGAUCUUUAAGUCAGGGGUGAAAUCCCGAGGCUCAACCUCGGAACUGCCCUUGAUACUGGAGAUCUUGUGUUCGGGAGAGGUGAGUGGAACUGCGAGUGUAGAGGUGAAAUUCGUAGAUAUUCGCAAGAACACCAGUGGCGAAGGCGGCUCACUGGCCCGAUACUGACGCUGAGGUGCGAAAGCGUGGGGAGCAAACAGGAUUAGAAACCCUUGUAGUCC